rnacentral:ncRNA from 1 species
GCUGUGGAGUGCCACACAAACGCAAGUAGCUACGGCGAAAGCGGGUACUGAGAAGCAGUAA